rnacentral:rRNA from 1 species
GAUGAACGCUGGCGGCGUGCCUAAUACAUGCAAGUCGAGCGAACGGACGAGAAGCUUGCUUCUCUGAUGUUAGCGGCGGACGGGUGAGUAACACGUGGAUAACCUACCUAUAAGACUGGGAUAACUUCGGGAAACCGGAGCUAAUACCGGAUAAUAUUUUGAACCGCAUGGUUCAAAAGUGAAAGACGGUCUUGCUGUCACUUAUAGAUGGAUCCGCGCUGCAUUAGCUAGUUGGUAAGGUAACGGCUUACCAAGGCAACGAUGCAUAGCCGACCUGAGAGGGUGAUCGGCCACACUGGAACUGAGACACGGUCCAGACUCCUACGGGAGGCAGCAGUAGGGAAUCUUCCGCAAUGGGCGAAAGCCUGACGGAGCAACGCCGCGUGAGUGAUGAAGGUCUUCGGAUCGUAAAACUCUGUUAUUAGGGAAGAACAUAUGUGUAAGUAACUAUGCACAUCUUGAUGGUACCUAAUCAGAAAGCCACGGCUAACUACGUG